GGGCUUGAAGGUAGUGCACGACGGCUUGGUGAUCGUGGUACAUGAAAUACCACUUACUUGCUUGGUGAGUAUACCACUCACUAAAUUGUUACUAUGUGGCUUUGUUAAAUGUUAUGUGAUGCCUUGAUGGCUUACUUGCAUAUUGGAAUUGAUUAAGGUGAGGGUGUACUUGACCGCCCUCACCUCUUUUGGAUAUUGUCAUUGAUUGGCUACCGUUUUAUUGCAUUACUGAACUUGAUAUAUUGGUUGGUGAAUUCCAUUUCAUGGAAACUGAAUUGAUGUCGUUUGGACGAUGUCCAACGGCCUUACUGCAUUACUGAGCUCAACCCCGUUUGGUAGUCAAUUGGAUCGAGCCGGCGAGGGUUUGGUCGUGAAGAUUGAAUUGCCACGGGGACUGUACUGGGGAACCUUGUGGUAAUGAGACCCUUGGUUCCGGUAAACUCGAGUAUUACCAAAAACUACUGAAAUGAAGUGCGGGCCCGGUUGGGGUAUGUUAGGUGGAAGGAUUGGAAGUAAAGGGUGGUCUACGGUUUGGUACUUUUAACAUUGACGGAGAGUCAAUGAGGUUGGAUCAAGAUUGCAAGCGUGGAAUUGGGCUCUUGAGAGCCGACCGUAUCCUUUUACCGUUUUGCUUCAUUGCUUAUUUGUGCACUUUAAAUGAAAGUUCAUUCUUAUAUGACUUUGAUUGCUUAUUGGGUGGUAUACCACUGGGCUUUAGCUCAUUCCGUGUUAUUUGUUUUCCUUACAGGGUGAUAAUUACUUUUGAGAACGGAUUGGAUAGUCAAUUUCCGAAUUGAGCAUGUAAAUGUCUUUUGUAUUGCUCUUGAAGUGAAACCCUAAUGUAUAACGGGUUCAUUUCCUUUUGAUAGGCAAAUCGAAUGUGUACUUCCUUAAUGAAUGGUUUUGGCUUGCCGUUGUGGCUUGUAAAUGGCUAAUGUUAUGUUGCAUAUGUAUUUCGAUGCUUGGUUGGGUUUCGGACGGGUCGGUUACUAUUCAUAGCCGACUCUGGAGUUCGUUUCUUUUAUUUUGGGAUAUUUUGCCCUUUUGCCUUGUUGCGCGCGUUAUAAGUUUCAAACGUGAUAGAUCGCUUUAUACUGCACCGUUAGUCCUGGCGAGAGCUGGGCAGGCAGUCCGCUAACCUCUUUGGUUCGCCUUAGGGGAAGGUGGGG
rnacentral:lncRNA from 1 species